UUUGGGUUGAAAAAAGUAAGUGUCCUUUUUGAUAGUACGUGUCUUACAAAUAUUCCAGAAGCAAUAAUAAUUUAAAAUACAGAAGAAGUAAAUCACAAAUCGAGGAUGUGCAUAUUAAACAACUAUUAACCUUGGGGAACUAAUCUAGGCGGCGGAUGAAUACAUGUGUAGAGCGGGACCACGAACGCAAGCACAGCCAAGCCAGAGGGAGAGAGACCGUCAUAAAGCGGCGUGAAGUACAAAUAAAUUUUUAAACCCAGGGACUACAACUGUGGAUGAAGUGGAGUUGCUCAUGGUGAGACAUUGGAUGUGGCUAUGAAGGGGAUGCAAGUUGGCCUCCUGAUAGGCCAUGAAGGUGCUCUACAGGAUGCCUUUCCUCGGGAUAUCUUCAGUGUGGCAGUUGUGGUGGAGGAGACCAUUGUACUACACAACCUCAAAGAUGUGGCAUGCAGCUUUGCCAUGCUUAUGGGCAUCAUAUAUUGUGUGAAUCUUGAAUAUCCACAAGCUAUUCCUUAUAAGUAUUCCUUUGAGUUUUUGCAGCGAGUGGUGAUGAAGGUCAAACCAGACCAAGCUUCUGCACGAGUACACGGGCUGAGAAACAAACUGUUAAGGUACAAACUGUAAAGUCUCUGGAGCAUUUUUGCACCUGAAAGUCUGGACCAAAGCCUGGACCAAGGUUCAUAUUUUUGUUGGAUUGUGUACAUUUAGUCGGUUGGUUGAAGUCUCUGGCCAUUUGGUUCGUUUUUGCACCUGAAAGUCUGGACCAAAGUUCAUAGGAUUGUGCAAAUUUAGUCGGUUGGUUGGUUUUCCAUUGCAGUUUACUUGCACACAGAAUAACUUUGAUGCAAUUUGUCAUCAUCUACGUGGGGUGUUCCGUCCUAUACUUGACAUUGAUGGGUUUGUAGAAUGUUGUUAUUCCAUGAGUUGCCUUUCCAAGCCCACACUUGCCAUAAUUCAACUCCCUUUAUGUGCAGGUGUGUCCCUCAGCAGAAUGAGCCUAACAAAUUCCUUGGAUUUGUUUUAUUUAUUUCUGUUAGUAAAUAAGGGUUAAUAUUUUAUUUCUGUGAAUUGAAUUACAGUAGAUACAGGAGGCUCGAUUGUAGGUGUUUGUGACCAUACUGCUGUGUGACAUGCUUGCACAUGAGGGAGAACUGAAUGUCAGCACAACACAGCUUCUUUUUCAUGUUUUCUAUUGUUACAGUUUAAAACAAACCUGCACUUACACAGGAAAUUAAGACUAUUUUAUUUGUCACUGUUGACACGUAUUAGGCCAUACAUAAAAUUUGAUCAAUUAUUCUGGCAUACAUGCGUAUCUUUUAUACAUGUGUAUUCAAGUACUUUUGUACCAUUAUACAUGAACUGUUUUUGUUUUGUGAUUUUCUAGUUCUUUAUUGUAUAUUCAAUGUUUAAUCCAAGAAAAUAAAAAUGAGAUAUUGCCUCA